rnacentral:rRNA from 1 species
GGACUACAGGGGUUUCUAAUCCUGUUUGCUACCCACGCUUUCGUGUUUCAGCGUCAGUUACGGUCCAGAGAGCCGUCUACACCGCCGGUGUUCCUCCUGAUAUCUACGCAUUUCACCGCUACACCAGGAAUUCCACUCUCCUCUCCCGCACUCCAAGUCAUUCAGUAUUCGGCGCACCCUCCCAGUUAAGCCGGGAGAUUUCACACCAAACUUAAACAACCGCCUACACACCCUUUACGCCCAGUAACUCCGAACAACGCUUGCUGCCUACGUAUUACCGCGGCUGCUGGCAC